rnacentral:rRNA from 1 species
AUACGGAGGGGGUUAGCGUUGUUCGGAAUUACUGGGCGUAAAGCGUGCGUAGGCGGACUAUUAAGUCAGAGGUGAAAUCCCGGGGCUCAACCCCGGAACUGCCUUUGAUACUGGUAGUCUUGAGGUCGAGAGAGGUGAGUGGAAUUCCUAGUGUAGAGGUGAAAUUCGUAGAUAUUAGGAGGAACACCAGUGGCGAAGGCGGCUCACUGGCUCGAUUCUGACGCUGAGGUACGAAAGUGUGGGGAGCAAACAGGAUUAGAUACCCCAGUAGUCC